rnacentral:rRNA from 1 species
AGAGUUUGAUCAGUGGCUCAGGACGACGCUGGCGGCGUGCCUAACACAUGCAAGUCGAGCGGGGUCCAUCCAGUGGCAACACUGGGGAAGACCUAGCGGCGAACGGGUGAGUAACACGUGAGGAACUUGCCCCGGAGUACGGGAUAACUCGAGGAAACUCGAGCUAAUACCGUAUGCCCUCUUCUGGUCGCAUGGCCGGAUGAGGAAAGAUUUAUUGCUCCGGGAGAGCCUCGCGGCCUAUCAGCUAGUUGGUGGGGUAACGGCCCACCAAGGCAUCGACGGGUAGCUGGUCUGAGAGGACGAUCAGCCACACUGGGACUGAGACACGGCCCAGACUCCUACGGGAGGCAGCAGUGGGGAAUCUUGCGCAAUGGGCGAAAGCCUGACGCAGCAACGCCGCGUGCGGGAUGAAGGCCUUCGGGUUGUAAACCGCUUUCAGCAGGGAAGAAACUGACGGUACCUGCAGAAGAAGCCCCGGCCAACUACGUG